CCUACGGGAGGCAGCAGUGGGGAAUAUUGCUCAAUGGGCGAAAGCCUGAAGCAGCAACGCCGCGUGGAGGAUGAAGGUCUUCGGUUUGUAAACCUCUUUUGUCAGGGAAGAAAAUGACGGUACCUAACGAAUAAGCACCGGCUAACUCCGUGCCAGCAGCCGCGGUAAUACGGAGGGUGCAAGCGUUAUCCGGAAUGACUGGGCGUAAAGGGCGCGUAGGCGGGGUAGCAAGUCAGAUGUGAAAUCCUAGGGCUUAACCAUAGAACUGCAUUUGAAACUGGCCUUCUAGAGUGUGGGAGAGGUAGGUGGAAUUCUUGGUGUAGCGGUGAAAUGCGUAGAGAUCAGGAGGAAUACCGAUUGCGAAGGCGGCCUGCUGGAACAUGACUGACGCUGAGGCGCGAAAGCGUGGGGAGCAAACAGGAUUAGAUACCCGGGUAGUC
rnacentral:rRNA from 1 species